rnacentral:tRNA from 1 species
AGCAGCGUGGCUCAGUGGAGCAAGAGCACGGGCUUUGGAGUCAGGGGUCAUGGGUUCGAAUCCCAGCUCUGCCA